GGCUGAGCAAACAGCAGGCUUCACCCCCCAGCCCAGGAACCCGGAGCCUCUCAGGCCCUGUGUCUAGGCAAUGAGCGCCUUCCUACUCCGGACCCCCAGCCCCGGCCACGACCCGCACCCAGCCGAGCCGCCUGGCUUCCUCCAGCCCAGCCUCCUGCCCUGAGAAAUGGAAGCCAAGGACACAGCUGUUCCAGGCACCCUUCCCAAAGCGACUCCGGUCGGUCAGCCGACUGAGAAGGUCCCACGUGCCAGGUUGGAUGGGGAGGGGCUGCAGAGAUGCACGUGGUGGCCCAUGUCCUGGUCGGAGGUGACUCUCACACUCUCUUAAGGGAGAGGCUUAGGAAUUUGGGGGUGUUAUUCCCGUCGAGUCUGUAGUGGACACCAAUGGUUUUCAACGUAUUUAUUUUUUCUUUUUCUGCCUCAGGUUACCUGAUGGGUAGGAUCCUCUCCCAGCGUAAUAGGGCGUCAAAAGGGCAAGACUGUGGGGCGUGGGGGUGGGGAGAUGAUCAGAAUCUCUGAGGGGGCAACUGGAGUUUGAUAAACGUCCCUCCCCAUGCCCCCAAGCCUGGGAAUCUGGUAGAGCUUCCUACGGGACAGGGCAUGGCUUCCACCAGGAGGAGCCACUGAAGGAUUUUGAGCAGGGGAGGAACAGAGAACAAUCUAUAAUGUAGCACCUCUCCCGCCCCGAAGUGGGAGGGUUGCUGGGGGACACUGAGGGAGGCGUCAAGGACCCCCUGCAGCCCCGGGGGGCAGUGAGGAGAGGGAAGGAAGCAGGUCAACAGAACCGAGUUCCGAUCCUGCCUCAGUUCCUCCUCCCUCCUCUGUAGGAAUCAGACUGCCGCCCUUCCUCUCACAGAUGUAAGCUUACCAACAUCGGUACGAGGCCGCCUUCGGGGUCAGGUGUGUGCUGCGACUUUGACACAGGUUUUCUCACUCAACGCAACAGUCAGGCACUAGGGUUAUCCCCACUUUACAGAUGUGAAACUGAGGAUCAGCACGUCGGUUGUCUUGGCCAACAAAAACCAGUACUCCGUGAUUGGAGCCCGUCUGUCCAUGGCCCGUGCUCCCUCCUACACCACUUUCUUGAAAUGAGAUUUUUAAAACAGCCCUGGUUCCUGCUCAUUUCCUGUUAGGAGCAGCUUUGCGUUAGAAAGAGUAGCUUUGGCCCGUGUCCCACCACAAGGGACCCCAAUCCUGCCCCUCUGGUCUAACACCUGUCAUCGCUCCUGACACCCGUGUCAGAGAGGAAAACCAAAGAACCCACCGCAGUUACGGUAAUACCCCAAGACGGCCAUCACCAUGCCUUCCGCACUCAGCAGGGAGAGAGAGGCAGUGAGCUCAUUGCCAUGGUGUUGAGCUAGGGCUGAGGCUGUUCUCCUCUGGGUCCGCUGGCCCCGUAGCUCUGCGGGAGGGUUGGGGCAGCAACCCACCAGGUGGAAGAGAUGGUGCUACUUCCCUUCUGGACGAGACUGACGCAUGCAGAGUGGGGCAGGGCAAGCCUUCCUCUCCAGGAUGGCAGCGGGGCUGGGAGGGUGCCCUCGUCACAGCCACCAGGUGGCCCUGUUCUGUGCCCCUUAAGAUGGCCCCCACUAAGCCUCGACUCCCGGUAUUCACACCCCUGUGUAGUCCUCCCUACAAUGAACGGGGCUGACCUAUGUGAACAGCAGGAUAUAGCAAAAGUGGCAGGCGAUGACUUCUGAGGCCAGGUCAUAACGGGAUCAUUCUCUCUGGGGGAAGUCAGCUGCCAUGUCACGAGGACACUCCAGCAGCCCCAGGGAGAAGCCCACGGAGCAAGGAACUGAGGCCUCCUGCCAACAGCCAGCACCAAUUUUUCAUUCGUGUGAGUGAGCCAGCAUGGAUGCAGAUGCUCCAGCCUCCGUCAAGCCUUCAGAUGAGCCUGCUGCUCAGAUUUCUGUUCAGGUGUCACCUCCUCCAAGAAGUCCUCUUGAACACUCCAGAGCUAAUCACUCCGUCCUCGAUGCUGUUGCUGAACCUUCCACGCACCCGUUUGUAGAGUGGUUAUAAACAUGGUCCUGAAUCAAAAAUGGGCUCCCAGACCUGCCACUCACCACCGGUAGGAUCUUGGCAAAGCGGCACCUCACUGUCCACAUCUGUAAAAUGCAGACGAUUCCUACCUCAGCACUAGAGGGAGGGUCAAAUGAGACCGAGUCUGUGGACGCUGUGAAUUCCAUCCUGACUCGGGAUCCAUCUCAUAGACGGGCCCCUGGAGACCAGGCUGUAUGGGGAGCGAGGCCGGCACUGAGCAGAGGGGCUUGGGGAGGGAACUGACAUACCUGGAGCACCUGCCUGUGCCAGGCGCUGGGCUAGACUCUGUAUCUCUAUGACUUAACCUAAUCUUUGCAACAAGAGCUGAGCAUCCUCAGCCACCUUUUCACACAUUUAGAAAGUGAAGCUCAGGAAGUUCAUGGCUUGCCUAGUGUCACACCGGGGAUGGAGGCGGGAUCUGAACCCCUUGUCUGUUGAACUCCAAAGGCUUCCAGCUCUGGCACUGAGUCUGUGCAGACCCAGCUGGGAGGUCCUGGGCCCAGGACAGUUCUCCAGUCCUCAGGAGGGCAGCAAAGUGAGGGUUAGUCAGCCUGGCCCAUGGUGGACUAUCCCCUCCUUUGUAUUGGGUGAUAGACUUCUAGUAAUACAACCCAAGAAGACCAUGGCUUUGCGGUUUCCUCUUCCCAGUUGUGGAAUCAGUUCAAUCCUGCUUACCUCCAGGUCAAAACAGGACACCUUCCCCCACCCUGAGCCCACCCUGCACAUCAUACCUUGAAAUUAACUUGCAAUUGCUGUGAGCUCUGAUUCACCCCCAACCUCCAACUGGCGCCAACAUAAGGAUUGCAUGAGCCAACAGCUCAUGGCUCAUGGUGCUGGAUGAAGGGUGUGGAGCGGGGUGAGGGUGCUGUUCCCUUUCUGGGGGGUAAUUUCCUUUUGUUGCUCAGCUCAGCUCAGCAGCCACCCGCCUCCACCCUCCCUGGCUAAUUAGUCGCCUGAUUUCCAUCAGCCUGAUUAGGUCCAUUUGAGCCACCACCCCACCCUGAGCAGCAGGAAGUUGACUCCAGUUAAGAGAGGAAGCGGCUGACUUAGGGAAGUGGAGGGGGU
rnacentral:lncRNA from 1 species